GAUGAACGCUGGCGGCGUGCUUAACACAUGCAAGUCGAACGGAAACGCCCUGCUUUUUUUGCGUGCUCGUGUGGUGUACCGGUGCGUAACAGGUGAGUAUCCUGCCCUUGUCUUUGGGAUAUCUUCAGGAAACUGCGGCUAAUAGCGGAUAGGAGCUCCUGCUGCAUGGCAGGGGUUGGAACGUUUCGGCGGUUGGGGAUGGAGUAGCGGCUUAUCAGCUUGUUGGUGGGGUAGUGGAUUACCAAGGCUUUGACGGGUAGUCGGCCUUGGAGGGUGACCGGCCACCAGGGUACUGAGAUACGGCCCAGAGUCCUACGGGAGGCAGCGGGGGGGAAUAUUGCACAAUGGGCGCAAGCCGGAUGCAGCAACGCCGCGGGCGGGAUGACGGCCUGCGGGUAGUAAACCGCAGUCGCCUGUGACGAAGCGUGUGUGGCGGUAAUGGGUAAAGAAGCACCGGCUAACUACGUG
rnacentral:rRNA from 1 species